rnacentral:rRNA from 1 species
AUUGAACGCUGGCGGCAGGCCUAACACAUGCAAGUCGAGCGGAUGAAGGGUGCUUGCUCCUGGAUUCAGCGGCGGACGGGUGAGUAAUGCCCAGGAAUCUGCCUGGUAGUGGGGGAUAACGUCCGGAAACGGGCGCUAAUACCGCAUACAUCCUGCGGGUGAAAGUGGGGGAUCUUUGGACCUCACGCUCUCAGAUGAGCCUAGGUCGGGUUAGCUAGUUGGUGGGGUAAAGGCCUACCAAGGCGACGAUCCGUAACUGGUCUGAGAGGAUGAUCAGUCACACUGGAGCGGAGCCACGGUCCAGACUCCUACGGGAGGCAGCAGUGGGGAAUGGGAGACAAUGGGCGGAAGCCUGAUCCAACCAUGCCGCGUGUGUGAAGAAGGUCUUCGGAUUGUAAAGCACUUUAAGUUGUGAGAAAGGGCAGUAGGUUGAGACCUUGCUGUUUUGACGUUACCGACAUAAGAAGCACCGGCUAACUACGUG